GACGAACGCUGGCGGCGUGCCUAAUACAUGCAAGUAGAACGCUGAAGAGAGGAGCUUGCUCUUCUUGGAUGAGUUGCGAACGGGUGAGUAACGCGUAGGUAACCUGCCUGGUAGCGGGGGAUAACUAUUGGAAACGAUAGCUAAUACCGCAUGAUAUUAAUUGUCGCAUGAUAAUUAAUUGAAAGAUGCAAUUGCAUCACUACCAGAUGGACCUGCGUUGUAUUAGCUAGUUGGUGAGGUAACGGCUCACCAAGGCGACGAUACAUAGCCGACCUGAGAGGGUGAUCGGCCACACUGGGACUGAGACACGGCCCAGACUCCUACGGGAGGCAGCAGUAGGGAAUCUUCGGCAAUGGGGGGAACCCUGACCGAGCAACGCCGCGUGAGUGAAGAAGGUUUUCGGAUCGUAAAGCUCUGUUGUAAGAGAAGAACGGGUGUGAGAGUGGAAAGUUCACACUGUGA
rnacentral:rRNA from 1 species